rnacentral:piRNA from 1 species
CUGGCUCUUAAUAUGACCAUACCGGCAAC